rnacentral:rRNA from 1 species
GGGGGGGGGUGGCGGCGGGCGUGACGGGGGGAGGGGGAGGGGGAGGGCCCUGGUGGUGUGGGGUGCUCGAGGGGCGAACGGGUGAGUAACACGUGGGUAACCUGCCCUUGACUUUGGGAUAACGUCAGGAAACUGGGGCUAAUACCGGAUAGGAGCUCCUGCUGCAUGGUGGGGGUUGGAAAGUUUCGGCGGUUGGGGAUGGACUCGCGGCUUAUCCGCUUGUUGGUGUGGUAGUGGCUUACCAAGGCUUUGACGGGUAGCCGGCCUGAGAGGGUGACCGGCCACAUUGGGACUGAGAUACGGCCCAGACUCCUACGGGAGGCAGCAGUGGGGAAUAUUGCACAAUGGGCGGAAGCCUGAUGCAGCAACGCCGCGUGCGGGAUGACGGCCUUCGGGUUGUAAACCGCUUUCGCCUGUGACGAAGCGUGAGUGACGGUAAUGGGUAAAGAAGCACCGGCUAACUACGUG